GGAAGUAAAGUCGUAACAAGGUCUCCGUAGGUGAACCUGCGGAGGGAUCAUUACAGAGUUCAUGCCCUACCGGGUAGAUCUCCCACCCUAUGUUAUUAUUACUUUGUUGCUUUGGCGGGCCGUUAGGCUCCGGCCCGACUACCGGCCCCGGCUGGUAGCGCCCGCCAGAGGACCCAAAACCCUGAAUAUUAGUGUCGUCUGAGUACUAUAUAAUAGUUAAAACUUUCAACAACGGAUCUCUUGGUUCUG
rnacentral:misc_RNA from 1 species